GGAACCCGGGAGCCACAUGCAUGACACUCGCGCAAGUUGUAUUCUUUCGCAGCCGGCGGUCGUUCGUGUUCUUAGAACGGCGCCACUCUUUGAGACGGGGACAGCUGCGGACGGCGCGCUUCCACCGCGGUGCGCAAGUAUGACGGGAUGCAGCGUACCAAACUGCCUAAACCACACGGAAGGUGACAAAGCUUUUACGGGGUGCCGUGAGGACAGAUAGACGUGCGCCGGCGACCGGUAUGACUUCUGCGUAUGGGCGGAAACCCGCCGGCUUCGAAAAUAAACAGGAUAUGCAAGGUGCGUUCGCCUUGUUUGCAGAGUGGCAUUGAAUUCUGCCCUCCAAGGCACCAAGAACCAGCACUCAUCCCAUGCUGCCACCAGCCAUUGCUCAUUCAGUCCCUUGUACGAAAUAAAUUUGAUCUAUAAGCUCG